GCCAGCCCUCCGCCUCGAGGCCACUGGUGCUUGGGGGUGGGAAAAGAGUGACCGGGGGCAACUGAGCAAAACAUAGAACAGAAACUCCCUCUCGAAUAGAGACCCACGCACGGAAGGAUGAUACACUGUGAUUCCCCGACGUGGGCCUGCAGCAAGAGACGGGUGCUAACAGCGUCCGAGCCAAUCCGUGCUUAUCACACAUGCAGUCAAUGAACACCUCACAAAUGCAAGGUUCACAUGCAGUCUUCGAUGAACACAUCGAUCGCAUCCAGCAGUAUGUCUGUAUUGGAAAAGUCCUUCCAUAGCACCCAGUAAUGAAAAGGAAUGUGGCGGGGAGCAGUACUGGACAGUAAAACUAAAAACACCAGGAAGAUCACAGUGAGAUCAGCAGAGCCCUAGAAUGGCAAAUCCAUGACAAAGAAAAUUUCUGAUGAAUAAAAACGUGCCUGGGUCCAGGCCAGCAAU
rnacentral:lncRNA from 1 species